rnacentral:rRNA from 1 species
GACGAACGCUGGCGGCGUGCCUAAUACAUGCCAGUUGAGCGCUGAAGGUUGGUACUUGUACCGACUGGAUGAGCAGCGAACGGGUGAGUAACGCGUGGGGAAUCUGCCUUUGAGCGGGGGACAACAUUUGGAAACGAAUGCUAAUACCGCAUAAAAACUUUAAACACAAGUUUUAAGUUUGAAAGAUGCAAUUGCAUCACUCAAAGAUGAUCCCGCGUUGUAUUAGCUAGUUGGUGAGGUAAAGGCUCACCAAGGCGAUGAUACAUAGCCGACCUGAGAGGGUGAUCGGCCACAUUGGGACUGAGACACGGCCCAAACUCCUACGGGAGGCAGCUGUAGGGAAUCUUCGGCAAUGGACGAAAGUCUGACCGAGCAACGCCGCGUGAGUGAAGAAGGUUUUCGGAUCGUAAAACUCUGUUGGUAGAGAAGAACGUUGGUGAGAGUGGAAAGCUCAUCAAGUGACGGUAACUACCCAGAAAGGGACGGCUAACUACGUG